GGAGUUUGGGCCGUGUCUCAGUCCCAAUGUGGCCGGUCACCCUCUCAGGUCGGCUACUGAUCGUCGCUUUGGUGGGCCGUUACCCCGCCAACUGGCUAAUCAGACGCGGGACCAUCCCAUACCGUCGGAGCUUUUCACACUGGAUGAUGCCAUCCCGUGCGCUUAUGCGGUAUUAGCAGCCGUUUCCGGCUGUUAUCCCCCUGUAUGAGGUAGGUUUCCCACGCGUUACUCACCCGUCCGCCACUCAGUCAUCUCUUGCUUCACCCCGAAGGGAUCCACAAAAGAGCUUCGUUCGACUUGCAUGUGUUAAGCACGCCGCCAGCGUUCAUC
rnacentral:rRNA from 1 species